rnacentral:rRNA from 1 species
UACGUAGGGUGCAAGCGUUAAUCGGAAUUACUGGGCGUAAAGGGUGCGUAGGCGGUUCGUUAAGUCUGUCGUGAAAUCCCCGGGCUCAACCUGGGAAUGGCGAUGGAUACUGGCGAGCUAGAGUGUGUCAGAGGAUGGUGGAAUUCCCGGUGUAGCGGUGAAAUGCGUACGAGAUCGGGAGGAACAUCAGUGGCGAAGGCGGCCAUCUGGGACAACACUGACGCUGAAGCACGAAAGCGUGGGGAGCAAACAGG